GACAGAGGGGGCAAGCGUUGCUCGGAAUCACUGGGCGUAAAGGGCGCGUAGGCGGGCUGGCAAGUCGGUCGUGAAAUCCUUCGGCUCAACCGAAGAACGUCGGCCGAUACUGCCGUUCUUGAGGGAUGCAGAGGAGAUUGGAAUUCCCGGUGUAGCGGUGAAAUGUGUAGAGAUCGGGAGGAACACCGGUGGCGAAGGCGGGUCUCUGGGCAUCUCCUGACGCUGAGGCGCGAAAGCGUGGGGAGCAAACAGG
rnacentral:rRNA from 1 species